rnacentral:tRNA from 1 species
GCCGAUGUAGCUCAGAUGGUAGAGCAGCUGAUUUGUAAUCAGCGGGUCGGGGGUUCGAUCCCUCUCAUCGGCU